rnacentral:miRNA from 1 species
UUCCUCCAUGCACUGGUGGGCAUCUAGGCUGCUUCUGUAACUUAGGUAUUGUGAAUAAUGAAGCAAUAACACGGGUGUGCAGGUGUCUCUCCUGU